AACGAACGCUGGCGGCAGGCUUAACACAUGCAAGUCGAACGUCCCGCAAGGGGAGUGGCAGACGGGUGAGUAACGCGUGGGAACAUACCCUUUUCUACGGAAUAGCUCUGGGAAACUGGAAUUAAUACCGUAUACGCCCUACGGGGGAAAGAUUUAUCGGGGAAGGAUUGGCCCGCGUUGGAUUAGCUAGUUGGUGGGGUAAAGGCCUACCAAGGCGACGAUCCAUAGCUGGUCUGAGAGGAUGAUCAGCCACAUUGGGACUGAGACACGGCCCAAACUCCUACGGGAGGCAGCAGUGGGGAAUAUUGGACAAGGGGCGCAAGCCUGAUCCAGCCAUGCCGCGUGAGUGAUGAAGGCCUUAGGGUUGUAAAGCUCUUUCACCGAUGAAGAUAAUGACGGUAGUCGGAGAAGAAGCCCCGGCUAACUUCGUG
rnacentral:rRNA from 1 species